rnacentral:rRNA from 1 species
AGUUUGAUCAUGGCUCAGAUUGAACGCUGGCGGCAGGCCUAACACAUGCAAGUCGAACGGUAGCACAGAGAGCUUGCUCUCGGGUGACGAGUGGCGGACGGGUGAGUAAUGUCUGGGAAACUGCCUGAUGGAGGGGGAUAACUACUGGAAACGGUAGCUAAUACCGCAUAACGUCGCAAGACCAAAGAGGGGGACCUUCGGGCCUCUUGCCAUCAGAUGUGCCCAGAUGGGAUUAGCUAGUAGGUGGGGUAACGGCUCACCUAGGCGACGAUCCCUAGCUGGUCUGAGAGGAUGACCAGCCACACUGGAACUGAGACACGGUCCAGACUCCUACGGGAGGCAGCAGUGGGGAAUAUUGCACAAUGGGCGCAAGCCUGAUGCAGCCAUGCCGCGUGUAUGAAGAAGGCCUUCGGGUUGUAAAGUACUUUCAGCGGGGAGGAAGGUGUUGUGGUUAAUAACCACAGCAAUUGACGUUACCCGCAGAAGAAGCACCGGCUAACUCCGUGCCAGCAGCCGCGGUAAUACGGAGGGUGCAAGCGUUAAUCGGAAUUACUGGGCGUAAAGCGCACGCAGGCGGUCUGUCAAGUCGGAUGUGAAAUCCCCGGGCUCAACCUGGGAACUGCAUUCGAAACUGGCAGGCUAGAGUCUUGUAGAGGGGGGUAGAAUUCCAGGUGUAGCGUGAAAUGCGUAGAGAUCUGGAGGAAUACCGGUGGCGAAGGCGGCCCCCUGGACAAAGACUGACGCUCAGGUGCGAAAGCGUGGGGAGCAAACAGGAUUAGAUACCCUGGUAGUCACGCCGUAAACGUUGUCGAUUUGGAGGUUGUGCCCUUGAGGCGUGGCUUCCGGAGCUAACGCGUUAAAUCGACCGCCUGGGGAGUACGGCCGCAAGGUUAAAACUCAAAUGAAUUGACGGGGGCCCGCACAAGCGGUGGAGCAUGUGGUUUAAUUCGAUGCAACGCGAAGAACCUUACCUGGUCUUGACAUCCACAGAACUUUCCAGAGAUGGAUUGGUGCCUUCGGGAACUGUGAGACAGGUGCUGCAUGGCUGUCGUCAGCUCGUGUUGUGAAAUGUUGGGUUAAGUCCCGCAACGAGCGCAACCCUUAUCCUUUGUUGCCAGCGGUCCGGCCGGGAACUCAAAGGAGACUGCCAGUGAUAAACUGGAGGAAGGUGGGGAUGACGUCAAGUCAUCAUGGCCCUUACGACCAGGGCUACACACGUGCUACAAUGGCGCAUACAAAGAGAAGCGACCUCGCGAGAGCAAGCGGACCUCAUAAAGUGCGUCGUAGUCCGGAUUGGAGUCUGCAACUCGACUCCAUGAAGUCGGAAUCGCUAGUAAUCGUAGAUCAGAAUGCUACGGUGAAUACGUUCCCGGGCCUUGUACACACCGCCCGUCACACCAUGGGAGUGGGUUGCAAAAGAAGUAGGUAGCUUAACCUUCGGGAGGGCGCUUACCACUUUGUGAUUCAUGACUGGGGUGAAGUCGUAACAAGGUAACCGUA